rnacentral:rRNA from 1 species
CAGUAGGGAAUCUUCCACAAUGGACGAAAGUCUGAUGGAGCAACGCCGCGUGAGUGAAGAAGGGUUUCGGCUCGUAAACUCUGUUGUUAAAGAAGAACAUAUCUGAGAGUAACUGUUCAGGUAUUGACGGUAUUUAACCAGAAAGCCACGGCUAACUACGUGCCAG